CGGAGGUGUCGACGAUGUCGUCCUUGCAGCCGCCGUGGCGGGAGUCGCACUCGUCGACGACGGUGGCCACCACGGAGCGGCCGUUCUGCCGGCUCGUGAUGCGGAUCCCGCGGUGGCAGCGGCGGCCGCCGGCGAACCACCCCGUCGACAGCGCCGCCACCAGGGACCGGUCGCUGUGGUAGCGCCCGUCGCACGCCGCCGGCCCGCCGCCGUCCUCCCCCUCCUCGAACCCGUUCACCGUCAUCACCGCCGGCGUCCCGUCCUCCGACACCGCCGGCGACGAGCACCGCCGCAUCCCCGGCGGCAGAUGCGAGUCCACGCCGCCGCCGCCGCCGUCGCACGGGUCCGGCUUGCCGUGGCGCCGCGCGGCGGCGCACGACGCGAGCAGCAGCACGAGCAUCGCGAACAGCGCG
rnacentral:sRNA from 1 species